CUGGAAGAAAUGUUAUAUUUUGGGCUUGACCAUCACCUCUUGCCAUCGGUGUGACUAUAAACAGGGCUGCUUGCUUCAGCAAUGUUGCUGUACUUGACCAGACCUCCUGAUGUAGUAAAUUGAAGUGUGCAAAUCUAAUGAGCUGAGACCCUGCUUCACCCCAAGACAUGCUGUUAAUGUUCAUCUCUGCUGAGACCUCAUGUGGAAUGUGAGGUUGGG
ensembl:antisense